rnacentral:rRNA from 1 species
UGGGGAAUAUUGGACAAUGGGCGAAAGCCUGAUCCAGCCAUGCCGCGUGUGUGAAGAAGGUCUUCGGAUUGUAAAGCACUUUAAGUUGGGAGGAAGGGUUGUAGAUUAAUACUCUGCAAUUUUGACGUUACCGACAGAAUAAGCACCGGCUAACUCUGUGCCAGCAGCCGCGGUAAUACAGAGGGUGCAAGCGUUAAUCGGAAUUACUGGGCGUAAAGCGCGCGUAGGUGGUUUGUUAAGUUGGAUGUGAAAUCCCCGGGCUCAACCUGGGAACUGCAUUCAAAACUGACUGACUAGAGUAUGGUAGAGGGUGGUGGAAUUUCCUGUGUAGCGGUGAAAUGCGUAGAUAUAGGAAGGAACACCAGUGGCGAAGGCGACCACCUGGACUAAUACUGACACUGAGGUGCGAAAGCGUGGGGAGCAAACAGGAUUAGAUACCCCUGUAGUCCCUGAGCGGGCUGGCAAGGCGCAU